AGACCGAUAGCGAACAAGUACCGUGAGGGAAAGAUGAAAAGCACUUUGGAAAGAGAGUUAAACAGCACGUGAAAUUGUUAAAAGGGAAACGAUUGAAGUCAGUCGUGUGGAAGGUAUUCAGCCGUCUCUGACGGUGUAUUUGCCUUUCACGGGUCAACAUCAGUUUGAUUCGGUGGAAAAAGGCGGGAGGAAGGUGGCACCCUCGGGUGUGUUAUAGCCUCCUGUCACAUACAUCGGACCAGACUGAGGAACGCAGCUUGCAGCAAUGCCGGGGUUCGCCCACGUCCAAGCUUAGGAUGUUGACAUAAUGGCUUUAAACGACCCGUCUUGAAACACGGACCAAG
rnacentral:rRNA from 1 species